ensembl:lncRNA
CCACACCAGUGCGAGGCAGAAGUGCUGAGUAAAUAGGAGACUCUGAAGCCCAAAUUUAACACGAGGCAGAGACCACCAUCUUCACAGCCUCUAUCAGUUUCACACCCUGUGGAUCCACGCGGUGCUCCUGGCUGGGCUGAAAUGAGAGGAAAGAAUAAGACCCAAGAUUCUUAACUCAGGCCGCCUGGAAUGAGAACAGGGGGACCAGUCAUUUGCUCUCAGCCUGGAGCUCCCCUUUGCAUCUACCCUCACCGAUACUGAGUGUGUUUAAUUUGGGACUAUUGGUGGGAGAAGAAAAGGUUAUCUAAAAAAAGGUUAGACACAAUUAAAAUGGAAAUGGGCAUAACCAUCCAAACAAAAGAGAUCAGCCCAGGUAAGAAAAAGCCUGAAUGUCUUUUAUUACCAGAAAAGGUGAGUAUGUUUGGA